UCAGUUGAAUGAAGACCGUACCGUAUACCGACACAGGUGGGUAGGAUGAGAAUUCUAAGGCGCUUGAGAGAACUCAGGAGAAGGAACUCUGCAAAAUAGCACCGUAACUUCGGGAAAAGGUGUGCCCUUUGUAUGUGUAGCGCCUCGCGCGUGAAGCAGAAUAGGGUUGCAAUGAAAUGGUGGCUGCGACUGUUUAAUAAAAACAUAGCACUCUGCAAACACGAAAGUGGACGUAUAGAGUGUGACGCCUGCCCGGUGCCGGAAGGUUAAAUGACGGGGUGCAAGCUCUUGAUUGAAGCCCCGGUAAACGGCGGCCGUAACGAUAACGGUCCUAAGGUAGCGAAAUUCCUUGUCGGGUAAGUUCCGACCUGCACGAAUGGCGUAACGAUGGCCACACUGUCUCCUCCUGGGACUCAGCGAAGUUGAAAUGUUUGUGAAGAUGCAAUCUCCCCGCGGCUAGACGGAAAGACCCCGUGCACCUUUACUGUAGCUUUACAUUGGACUUUGAUAACAUUUGUGUAGGAUAGGUGGGAGGCUUUGAAGUGGGUUCGCCAGAAUUCAUGGAGCCAACGUUGAAAUACCACCCUGAUGUUGUUGAGGUUCUAACCUAGAUCCAUUAUCUGGAUUGGGGACCGUGUAUGGUAGGCAGUUUGACUGGGGCGGUCUCCUCCCAAAUUGUAACGGAGGAGUACGAAGGUACGCUAGGUACGGUCGGAAAUCGUGCUGAUAGUGCAAUGGCAAAAGCGUGCUUAACUGCGAGACUGACAAGUCGAGCAGAUGCGAAAGCAGGUCAUAGUGAUCCGGUGGUUCUGUAUGGAAGGGCCAUCGCUCAACGGAUAAAAGGUACGCCGGGGAUAACAGGCUGAUUCCUCCCAAGAGUUCAUAUCGACGGGGGAGUUUGGCACCUCGAUGUCGGCUCAUCACAUCCUGGGGCCGUAGCCGGUCCCAAGGGUAUGGCUGUUCGCCAUUUAAAGUGGUACGUGAGCUGGGUUUAAAACGUCGUGAGACAGUUUGGUCCCUAUCUGCCGUGGGCGUUGGAGGUUUGAGUGGACCUGCUCCUAGUACGAGAGGACCGGAGUGGACGCACCUCUGGUGUACCGGUUAUGACGCCAGUCGUAUCGCCGGGUAACUAUGUGCGGAAGAGAUAACCGCUGAAAGCAUCUAAGCGGGAAACUCUCCUCAAGAUGAGACUUCCCGAGGGUUUAACCCUCCUAAAGGUUCGUCGAAGACUACGACGCUGAUAGGUCGGGUGUGGAAGCAUAGUGAUAUGUUAAGCUAACCGAUACUAAUUGACCGUGAGGCUUGAUCCG
rnacentral:rRNA from 1 species